rnacentral:rRNA from 1 species
CACAGCCGCGGGAAUACGAAGGGUGCAAGCGUUACUCGGAAUUACUGGGCGUAAAGCGUGCGUAGGUGGUGGUUUAAGUCCGUUGUGAAAGCCCUGGGCUCAACCUGGGAAUUGCAGUGGAUACUGGGUCACUAGAGUGUGGUAGAGGAUAGUGGAAUUUCCGGUGUAGCAGUGAAAUGCGUAGAGAUCGGAAGGAACAUCUGUGGCGAAGGCGACUAUCUGGGCCAACACUGACACUGAGGCACGAAAGCGUGGGGAGCAAACAGGAUUAGAGACCCCUGUAGUCCCUGUCUCUUAUACA